UACGGGGGGGGUAAGCGUUGUUCGGAAUUACUGGGCGUAAAGGGCUCGUAGGCGGCCAACUAAGUCGGACGUGAAAUCCCUCAGCUUAACUGGGGAACUGCGUCUGAUACUGGAUGGCUUGGAUUCGGGAGAGGGAUGCAGAAUUCCAGGUGUAGCGGUGAAAUGCGUAGAUAUCUGGAGGAAUACCGGUGGCGAAGGCGGCAUCCUGGACCGAGAUUGACGCUGAUGAGCGAAAGCUAGGGGAGCAAACGGG
rnacentral:rRNA from 1 species